rnacentral:rRNA from 1 species
GGGAUAACCCGGCGAAAGUCGGACUAAUACCGCAUGAAGCAGGGGCCCCGCAUGGGGAUAUUUGCUAAAGAUUCAUCGCUGAUAGAUAGGCAUGCGUUCCAUUAGGCAGUUGGCGGGGUAACGGCCCACCAAGCCGACGAUGGAUAGGGGUUCUGAGAGGAAGGUCCCCCACAUUGGUACUGAGACACGGACCAAACUCCUACGGGAGGCAGCAGUGAGGAAUAUUGGUCAAUGGCCGAGAGGCUGAACCAGCCAAGUCGCGUGAGGGAUGAAGGUUCUAUGGAUCGUAAACCUCUUUUAUAAGGGAAUAAAGUGCGGGACGUGUCCCGUUUUGUAUGUACCUUAUGAAUAAGGAUCGGCUAACUCCGUGCCAGCAGCCGCGGUAAUACGGAGGAUCCGAGCGUUAUCCGGAUUUAUUGGGUUUAAAGGGUGCGUAGGCGGCCUUUUAAGUCAGCGGUGAAAGUCUGUGGCUCAACCAUAGAAUUGCCGUUGAAACUGGGGGGCUUGAGUAUGUUUGAGGCAGGCGGAAUGCGUGGUGUAGCGGUGAAAUGCAUAGAUAUCACGCAGAACCCCGAUUGCGAAGGCAGCCUGCCAAGCCAUGACUGACGCUGAUGCACGAAAGCGUGGGGAUCAAACAGGAUUAGAUACCCUGGUAGUCCACGCAGUAAACGAUGAUCACUAGCUGUUUGCGAUACACUGUAAGCGGCACAG